GAUGAAGAACGUAGCGAAAUGCGAUACUUGGUGUGAAUUGCAGAAUCCCGUGAACCAUCGAGUCUUUGAACGCAAGUUGCGCCCGAAGCCAUUAGGCCGAGGGCACGCCUGCCUGGGCGUCACACGUCGUUGCCCCCCCAUCUACUCCUUCGGGAUUGCGGGGGCGGAUGAUGGCCUCCCGUGCGCCUCGCCGCGCGGUUGGCAUAAAUGCCAAGUCCUCGGCGACGCACGCCACGACAAUCGGUGGUUGCGAAACCUCGGUUGCCCGUCGUGUGCGGUCGUCGCGCAUCUAGGGCUCGAAAAAAUUGCCGGGUUCCGGCUCGGCUUUCAACGCGACCCCAGGUCAGGCGGGGUUACCCGCUGAAUUUAAGCAUAUCAAUAAGCGGAGGA
rnacentral:misc_RNA from 1 species